rnacentral:rRNA from 1 species
AAAUUUAAAAUAUUUAUAAUAUAUAUAUAUAUAUAUAUAUAUAUAUAUAUAUAUAUAUAUAAUUUUAUUUUAAUUUUAAAUUAAUAAAAAUAUUUAUAAAAUUAAUUUUAAUAUUAGUAAUUAAAUAGAAUAUAUUUUAUAAAAUAAUGUAUUGAAAAAGAUUAAUUAAAAUAAAUUAAAUUAUAAAAAUAAUUAUUAAAUUUAUUUACCUUUUGUAUCAGGGUUAAUUAAAAUUUUUAUUUAAUAUAAAAUUAUUUAUCGAAUUAAUAAGAUUUAAUUUAAUAAUUUAUUUAAUGUAGUAAAUUUAUUAACAAUAUUAAAUUAGAAGAGACAUUUUAAACAUUUAUUAAGAUAUCUAUUAAUUUAAUAAUUGAAUUUAAUUUAGAUUAAUUUUAAAAAAAAAUUUUUUAUAAAUAUUUUUUAUUAAAUUAAUUAAAUAUUUUAGGGAUAAUCUUAAUAUAGUUUUUAUAAUUUAAAUAAAUUUUUAUAUUUAAAGAUUAAUUAAUAAUAUAAUUGAAAUUUUUUUUUAUUUGAAAUAAUUUAAUAAUUUAUAAUUAAUUAUAAUUAGAUUUUUAUUUAUUUAAUUUUUUAUUAAAUUAAAAUUUUUAAUUUUAUUAAGUUUUUAAUAAUGAUUAAAUUAGUAUAAAUAAAUUAAAAUUAAUUUAUAAAUAAUUUAUUUUUAAAAGAUUAAUUUAAGGAAUUAGACAAAUUUAUUAAAUUUAAUUAUUUAUUCACCUGUUUAUUAAAAACAUGUCUUUUUGAAAAUAAUAUAAAGUCUAAUCUGCUCAAUGAUUAUAAUUAAUUAAAUAGCUGCGGUAUAUUAACCGUACAAAGGUAGCAUAAUCAAUAGUUUUUUAAUUGAAAGCUGGAAUGAAAGAUUUGAUGAAAUAAAUAUUGUCUCAAAUUAAAAUUUUAUAGAAUUUUUUUUUUAGUAAAAAUACUAAAAUUAUUUUAAAAGACGAGAAGACCCUAUAGAUUUUUAUAAUUUAUUUUUAAUAAAAAAAAAUAAAUUAUUUGGUUGGGGAAAUUAUUAAAUUUAAUUAAUUUUAAUUAUUAGAAACAAAAAUUAUUGAUAUUAUUGAUCUUAGAGUUUUAGAUUAAAAGAAUAAAAUACCUUAGAGAUAACAGCGUAAUUUUUUUAGAAAGAUCUUAUUAAUAAAAAAGUUUGCGACCUCGAUGUUGAAUUAAGAUAAAAUUUUAAUGAAGAAGUUAAAAAUUUUUAGUCUGUUCGACUAUUAAAAUCUUACAUGAUUUGAGUUUAGAUCGGUGUGAGCCAGAUCGGAUUUUAUCUUUAAAUUAAUUAAAAUAAUUUUGUACGAAAGGACUAAUUAUUUAAAAUAAUUUUAUUAUUUGAAAUUUAUUAAUAGAAUG